rnacentral:rRNA from 1 species
UACGGGGGGAGCAAGUGUUGUUCGGAUUUACUGGGCGUAAAGGGCGCGUAGGCGGUCAGCACAAGUCAGUUGUGAAAUCUCCGGGCUUAACUCGGAAAGGUCAACUGAUACUGUGCGACUAGAGUGCAGAAGGGGCAACUGGAAUUCUCGGUGUAGCGGUGAAAUGCGUAGAUAUCGAGAGGAACACCUGCGGCGAAGGCGGCACUCUGGGCCGGAACUGACGCUGAGGAGCGAAAGCGUGGGGAGCGAACAGG